rnacentral:lncRNA from 1 species
UGUCGUUCAAAGCUGAACAGGGUUGCCCAGGAGGCUCCUCUUGACGUCCCAACAGGUCCCGGAGAGCUACCGAUU